CUUCUCUUCAGCUGUUCUCUUUACUUCCCAUCUCACUUUCUUUUUUCCAUUUUCUCUCAACCGAGAGAUAAAGCCUCUCUACAGCCACCGAGCGCCGCCGCCCUCAUCAACAGUCUACGGUGGUUGGUGCUCGAGAUAAGAAGCCCUAAACGAUCCUAUUUUUUCUCUAGAAGACAAAUCCUAGAUCGAUUUUACUUUAAACCAACCCUAGAAGCCUAGAUCUAAAGAGUUACCUCUCAGCCACUCCAACUCCGACGAUGUUUGAAAUUUUCUGACGAACGACAAACGAAGGACAGAGAGUGAUAGGCAAAGGUAUGGGGGCAUGGUUCGGUUGGUGGGGAUCCCAGAUUUUCUGGGAUCAGUUUUUUAUUUGAUCUUUUACUGUUGUUUAUAUAUAUUUUUUGUUUUGGAUUGAUUUUUUUGGGUUUUGAUUUGUUCUUUGGUUGUUGGAACAAUGAUUGGAGUUGAUGGCAGCAGGAUUGGCUCUUCAACGACGACUAGUCUCCGACAGUAGCUUCAUCGGCGACGCGGUGCGACACGGGCUGGUAGGGUUAGAUUAGGUUAGGGUUUAGGUUGUGGACUUGAUCUGGUUAACUGGGCUGAUUUGAUUGGGUUAAUCUUGUAAUUUAGGCCUGCAAAAAUGAUGUAAAUAAUAAUAAUAAUAUUAAUAAUUAAAACCCAUACAAAAUGGGUGUCUACAGA